UGGAAACGGUAGCUAAUACCGCAUAACGUCGCAAGACCAAAGAGGGGGACCUUCGGGCCUCUUGCCAUCAGAUGUGCCCAGAUGGGAUUAGCUAGUAGGCGGGGUAAUGGCCCACCUAGGCGACGAUCCCUAGCUGGUCUGAGAGGAUGACCAGCCACACUGGAACUGAGACACGGUCCAGACUUCCUACGGGAGGCAGCAGUGGGGAAUAUUGCACAAUGGGCGCAAGCCUGAUGCAGCCAUGCCGCGUGUGUGAAGAAGGCCUUCGGGUUGUAAAGCACUUUCAGCGGGGAGGAAGGCGGUACGGUUAAUAACCGUGCUGAUUGACGUUACCCGCAGAAGAAGCACCGGCUAACUCCGUGCCAGCAGCCGCGGUAAUACGGAGGGUGCAAGCGUUAAUCGGAAUUACUGGGCGUAAAGCGCACGCAGGCGGUCUGUCAAGUCGGAUGUGAAAUCCCCGGGCUCAACCUGGGAACUGCAUUCGAAACUGGCAGGCUGGAGUCUCGUAGAGGGAGGUAGAAUUCCAGGUGUAGCGGUGAAAUGCGUAGAGAUCUGGAGGAAUACCGGUGGCGAAGGCGGCCUCCUGGA
rnacentral:rRNA from 1 species